rnacentral:rRNA from 1 species
GUAGGUGGCAAGCGUUGUCCGGAAUUAUUGGGCGUAAAGCGCGCGCAGGCGGUCCUUUAAGUCUGAUGUGAAAGCCCACGGCUCAACCGUGGCGGGUCAUUGGAAACUGGGGGACUUGAGUACAGAAGAGGAAAGCGGAAUUCCAAGUGUAGCGGUGAAAUGCGUAGAGAUUUGGAGGAACACCAGUGGCGAAGGCGGCUUUCUGGUCUGUAACUGACGCUGAGGCGCGAAAGCGUGUGGAGCAAACAGGGAUUAGAUACCCUGGUAGUCCACGCCGUAAACGAUGAGUGCUAAGUGUUAGGGGGUUUCCCGCCCCUUAGUGCUGCAGCUAACGCAUUAAGCACUCCGCCUGGGGAGUACGGCCGCAAGGCUG